GACGGAGGAUGCAAGUGUUAUCCGGAAUCACUGGGCGUAAAGCAUCUGUAGGUGGUCAAAUAAGUCAACUGUUAAAUCUUGAGGCUCAACCUCAAAACCGCAGUCGAAACUAUUAGACUAGAGUAUAGUAGGGGUAAAGGGAAUUUCCAGUGGAGCGGUGAAAUGCGUAGAGAUUGGAAAGAACACCGAUGGCGAAGGCACUUUACUGGGCUAUGACUAACACUCAGAGACGAAAGCUAGGGUAGCAAAUGGG
rnacentral:rRNA from 1 species